rnacentral:lncRNA from 1 species
GACUAUCCAUGUGACCAAUACAUUACUUCCCUUUUCACUUCACUUGAGUCCCUUAGCUGCAAAGUGGCUUCCCCUGGGCCCAGCAGUUACCCAGCAAAACAGGCAAGGGAGGAGCUGAGGGAGUAGCUGGGAAGCCAAGUUCAAAUUCCGCGUCCCCAGACAAGAGACCUUCACUGUCCCGCCCCCCCCCACCCCCGAGGGGGAAGCAGAGGAGGCCUCAAUAGAAGGGGGCGGGGGGCUGCUUCCCCUUCCUUCGUGAAUGCCGGGCAAUUAAACUCCUGGGCUUUCUCCAAAAUGCUCGCUCUUGGACCAUCUUCUGUUUCUCCUCCGCCGACCCCUGACUCCAGAUACGCCCCCUCUUCCCUUGCCUGCAGUCUCCUGGGAGAAAUCAAAUGGAAUAGCCUUCAGAGUCCUGUCCAGUUGGAAGAGUAGAAGUGGAACUUUAGACUCCAAAUUCAGUAUUCAUUCAACUAUGCCAUAUUACCUACCUGUGGACACAACUACUACGUUUCAGAGAUGGUAUCUGAACCCUCAUCUCCUGACCCUCCAGCUACUAUGCCAUGCUGCUUUUCACAAAACAUU